rnacentral:rRNA from 1 species
GCGGAGAGGCCACACCUGUUCCCAUGCCGAACACAGCAGUUAAGCUCUCCAGCGCCGAUGGUAGUUGGACUGACGUCCCGCAAGAGUAGGAC